rnacentral:misc_RNA from 1 species
GGAAACUGCAGGAUGCCUAUUGAUAAUCUUCUCCCAAAAAGUAAUGACAAAGAGCAUUAGCAUUGAGCAGCAUAUUCUUCUUUAACAAAUAAUGAAAUAAGCACAUUGAUCUCAGUAUGAAGCAUUUUACAUCUCAUUCAUAUAAUAAAUCUGUACAUAUUGAGAAUCAAAAAACCGACACUUCAGCAUUUAACGAGUGUGAAGUCUAAACCUGCUAACCCAGUCCAAGCAUCUCUGAUAUUAACAAGCUUGGCUGUACCCGUAUGGCUGUGUCUAUGCUCAGUCAAUCUAAUUACAUGAGCGAAAUCAUUCAACAAUCCAAAGUACAGCUGUUAAAAAGUCUCGGUUCUGGUGUUGAAGUUUGGCUGUUUUUGAACAUGCAGUUAGCAAUAAGGAAGUUCUCCUUCUGGAAGUUCCCAGUUAUCAUCCUCAUCAUUGUACUUCUCCUCCUUCUUUGGUGCUUCCUUUUUGCCCUGCGCUUUCUUUCGCGGGUGCCUGGCAUUGAUAAAAAUAAAUUAACAAUAAAGUAAGUGUGCAAACAAAAUUUUCUCAGCUCCUUUAGAUCAUAGAAUUUGUCAAGGGGGGGAAAGAUAUUCUGCAAAGUAUGCGCGGGAUGUCUGGGGAUACAAGUUAACAAGGUAUAAUUAGCGUCAAUACAAGCAAUACUGCUGAAAAUUCAAGCAUCUGUACCCAAAACUUCCAAACAACUAAUACACAACCAACGAGAUAGGCAUUCCAAACAAUAGUAAGAUUCACCUAAAGCACAGCACUCAAUGACAGAAAAUAGCAAAGAAAAACACAUCAACACCAUGCUAACAAAGGCAAGAACACUCAAAGAAAGAUAAUGGGGAAAAAUAUAUAUAAGGUCCAUGCUCCAUUCUGACGUUGAAGGGAGUUAGCAGGGGAAAGAUAAUAAAACUAUGAAGUAUUAACAUGGCCAGGACUGACUAAAAUAAAAGACAUCCCUUCAUCUGAGCGUAAGACAAAUCUGAGUCCCUAAGAUUGCAUUACAUUUCUAACCUCCACCAGUACAUUUUUGACAGAAACUUCAGCAUUCUAUGGUUCAAAAAUUUAUACCUCAAACAUCAAUACAGGAUUAUUACUAGCAUUUUAUUAUCUACUGCAGCUAAAUUAGUUUAUGUUGACACUGCAAUUUAUGUGAAUGAAAUUAAUAUUAAAUGGUAUUUCAGGUUUUUUCAUGUCUGUUUAAGGCAUCUAAUUCACAAUUUGUCUUCUUUGAAUAUACACUUUCGUUGAGGAAAUUAAAGUUGAAUUUCAAAUUCAACUAAAUGCUGAUAAAUUAUAAAACUAACUAAAACUGCAGGCCCUACUGCACAGAAUAUAUUAUGGGGAUUUCACAGUUUCAAGUGAAUUACUGAUAUGAGAUUAAAAAUAAUGAUCACUGAGGAAAAGGAAAACUUGACCUUGUUCUUAGGUUUGAAGUAUAACGAUCUUCAUUUUUCACAUGAAAAAAAUAUUAGCAGUAGACAACAAACAACAAACAUAUAAAAAACGGGUGUCUUGUGGAUAUUAAACCCGGAUAGAGAUGUCAUGAGAAUCAAAGAGUUCCAUCAGUGCAGAAAGACAUAUUUGGAAAACCUAAUAUCCAAUAAAAAAUUUCUGAGUUUCCUCGCAGCAAUUAAAACCCAAAAAGUUAAAUCAAAGUGCACAAUGAAAUAGCUAAAACUUGGAGGAAAAUAAUAUCAACCAAAGAGAUCACAAGACAAAAAAUCAACUUGAGCUACUGGGUUCCACCACAUUGCAAGAACCAAAACAAGUAAUUCCCCAAUUUUAAACGUUUCGUCUGUCCUGCAUAUUCUCACCAACAAGAACAGACCCAAAAGAGAAGAAUCCCAAACAAACCUCUUACGGUUCCUGCGAGCAGCAUCUCUAGCUUUUCUCUUCUUCUUGUCAUGGGAGCUCUCAAAGAACCUUCUUCUCUUGCAUUCCUGUAGAAUACCAGCCUUCAUGACAGCUCUCCUGAACCUAAGGAGUAUUCUAUCCUCAGGCUCGUUCUCCUCCACGUUAAUCUGCACAUUAAACCCCGAUUUGAAGUGAAGGGUUUUUGCAUAUGCCAGUGAAGGACACACCACGGACAAGAUAUCACUGUCACCAGCGGUAGUCAAAGAAAUAAAAGAUGGUGCCGGGUUGGAUGCUGCCACUAGUGGGGUCCAUUCAGAAAGUGUGAUUCUAGGGAGCCGAAGUUGUUGAGAGGAAAUAGAGAGAAUAGUAGGAGCCGAUGAUUUCGAGGGCUGGAGGGAAGAGAAGAAACUGGAGAGAGAAGAGAUCGCCAUGGCCGAUUGUUCCUUGCGGGUUUAGUUCUGGCAAGUAGCAAGCUUGGUUAUUUUCAAGGUUCGGUUUUUGUCUACUGAAUUUUGACAUG